GUGAAUCAUCAAAUCUUUGAACGCAAAUUGCACUCUCCGGUUUUCCGGGAGAGUAUGCCUGUUUGCGGGUCAGCCUAAAAAAAAUCGACAUUGUUGCUGUUAUUUAAUGGUGACUUUCGUCGGAGAUUGGGUUAUCUUAAACCUUUUUUUUUUUUGGUUUAGGGGCCCUAAAAUUUUGUUUACUCGUUCCUUAACGGUU
rnacentral:misc_RNA from 1 species